rnacentral:rRNA from 1 species
UUCCUUGUCGGGUAAGUUCCGACCCGCACGAAAGGCGUAAUGAUUUGGAUACUGUCUCGGAGAGGGGCUCGGUGAAAUAGACUUGUCUGUGAAGAUGCGGACUACCUGCACCAGGACAGAAAGACCCUAUGAAGCUUUACUGUAACUUGAAAUUGAAAUUGGACUUUAGUCGCGCAGCAUAGGUGGGAGGCUUUGAAGAUAUUCUUGCGGGAAUAUCGGAGCUAUCAGUGAGAUACCACUCUUCUAAUGUUAGAUUUCUAACUUUGAACCAUUAUCUGGUCAAAGAACAGUUUCAGGCGGGCAGUUUGACUGGGGCGGU